AGUCGAGGGGCAGCGCGGGAUAGCAAUAUCCUGGCGGCGACCGGCGGCAAGGGUGCGUAACGCGUGAGCGACAUGCCCGUUGCCCGGGGACAACCGGUGGAAACGCCGACUAAUCCCCGAUGGGAUACGAUGCUUCAUGGCAUUGUAUUGAAAGUUACGGCGGCGACGGAUUGGCUCGCGUCCGAUUAGCUUGUUGGCGGGGUAACGGCCCACCAAGGCUACGAUCGGUAGGGGUUCUGAGAGGAAGGCCCCCCACAAUGGGACUGAGACACGGCCCAUACUCCUACGGGAGGCAGCAGUGAGGAAUAUUGGUCAAUGGGCGGAAGCCUGAACCAGCCAUGCCGCGUGCGGGAAGGAGGCCCUAUGGGCUGUGAACCGCUUUUGCCUGGGGGCAAUAAGGGCGUCGCGCACGCCCGAUGAGAGUACCAGGCGAAUAAGCAUCGGCUAACUCCGUGCCAGCAGCCGCGGUAAUACGGGGGAUGCGAGCGUUAUCCGGAUUCAUUGGGUUUAAAGGGUGCGUAGGCUGUGCGUCAAGUCGGGGGUGAAAUUCCGGUGCUCAACACCGGGGCUGCCCUUGAUACUGUCGCGCUGGA
rnacentral:rRNA from 1 species